rnacentral:lncRNA from 1 species
UCCCAGCUCUCCCAGCGACUUGAGGAUGCGUGUAAUGCGCAGGUUGUUGUGCCUGUGACUGUUGAGGUUCUGGAAGCGUGGCUGGAAGUUCUGUGCACAGCAGACCGCACCUGUGUCCCGGUCCUCAAGUUGGAUCCCAUAGAAGCCCAGCAUGAGUUCAUAGGCCCGGACCAGACGCUCUUUGACCUCCUGGGAGCUUUUAAAUGCCUCCACCUCCUUGAGUGUGAGGGGCUUGGCAUGCCGGUUCACUCCUGGUUCCCUCAGAGGAAACAGCCACUGGAUAUAGGAGUGAUUCUCUUCAAGGACGACAUAGUUGUCUUUCCAGUUGUGAAGAAUUUCCUCAAUGUAGAGACCAUUUGGCUGGAAGCAGAUCUCAUUUUUGUAGAAGCACAGGGUUUCUCUGUUUAGGUGUGGAACUGAAAGACCCCCAGACCCCUAAGGGACUCAGGAUCCCGAGGAGCCCCCAAGACUCAGAAACCAGACCAAGAGCUGCAAAAGCAAGAGGGUUUAUUGAACGAAUUUGCAUUCGGGUGUCAGCAAUAUCAGGGAAGCUGCACACCCCGCAAGGGUUACAGGCUCCUUAUACAGGAAAAAACCGCAGAUCAGCAUACAGGCAAGGGGCAUAAGUGCUUGAUUACAAAGUAUGAUCUUAUGUUAGAGUGGUCACCCAGGUGGGACCUGCUUUUCUACAAAGGAAAAACCAUAGAAAGUACCCUGUAAAGUCCUUGAUUGUCUGUUGGCCAGCAAGGAGUGACCCAAAGAGGAUUGUCUUGGCGAUUGCCCCCGUCUAAACCAUAGGAUGUGCCCGGGGUUGGGGCCACUACCUUGUAAUGGGCCAAGGCCUGUGGAAACCUUUUCUCUCUGUGAAUUAAAACCUUUUAAAAAUUCUCUCAGCAAACUAAAAUAUUUCAGAACUUGUCCUGGCACUACUCUUAGACCAGAUAGGAUUUGAACUCUUAUAGAUCCACUUCCCUCUGCCUUACAAGUUCUGGGAUUAAAGGUGUGUGCCACCACCACCCAGAGUACUCCUGCUAUCUUAAAGCGUUGAUGAUUUGCAAUGCAAAGUAGUAAGAUGCACUUUAAAUUUUACUCAAAGACCAUUUUAUUUAAUGAAAAAUGGUAAGUGGUAAAAAGUUAGGUAUGAAAACUUCACAGAAGCACAGGCAUUUAACAAAUCUGAAAUCUCAGAGCCCAGGAAGCAGGAAACAUAUUGCCAGAACUUGGGUCACAGACAGGGAUACGUUAGAAAAACACUGUAUACCUAUUUUGUAUAUUUCAAAAAUUGACCCAAUUUAGUUGGAAUAAGAAAUCCCUGAGGCAGGGAGCAAUAGCACACACCUUUAAUCCUUAUGUGGAAUUUCUUGCUAAUUGUUGUUCAAACUCUGUUACAAGCUAGAAUCACCACACUCACGUGACAAAAGCAAGCUGCUCACAGAAAAUUCCAUGCUAGUCUUGGCAACAAAGAUUUAGUCCCA